rnacentral:misc_RNA from 1 species
GUGAAUCAUCAAAUUUUUGAACGCAAAUUGCGCUUCCUGGCAUCCCGGGAAGUAUGCCUGUUUGAGGGUCAGUAUUAACAAAAAAUCGGUUUGGUUGCAAAUUGUGACGUUUCCGGAGUUUGGGCUAUCUUAACUUUUUUGGUUAAGGGCUUAAAAUUGACCUUUUUUGGGCCUUUUUAGACGGACAUUAAUUUUUUUUUUUAUUUGUUUAUUUUUUAUUCCAAAAUCUUUAUUAGUGCCAAC